rfam:Sphingomonas sp. Leaf339 scaffold15.1, whole genome shotgun sequence.
AGCGUAUUUUCUCAGGGCGGAGCUCGACCGCCCGUUCAAGCGAUGACCGGCUUCAUCGACGAGCAUCGUGAAGCCUACGGGGUCGAGCCGAUCUGCAAGAUGCUGCCGAUCGCCCCA